AUUGAACGCUGGCGGCAUGCCUUACACAUGCAAGUCGAACGGCAGCACGGGAGCAAUCCUGGUGGCGAGUGGCGAACGGGUGAGUAAUGCAUCGGAACGUGCCCAGUCGUGGGGGAUAACUGCUCGAAAGAGCAGCUAAUACCGCAUACGACCUGAGGGUGAAAGCGGGGGACCGUAAGGCCUCGCGCGAUUGGAGCGGCCGAUGUCAGAUUAGGUAGUUGGGGGGGUAAAGGCCUACCAAGCCUGCGAUCUGUAGUUGGUCUGAGAGGACGACCAGCCAGACUGGGACUGAGACACGGCCCAGACUCCUACGGGAGGCAGCAGUGGGGAAUUUUGGACAAUGGGCGCAAGCCUGAUCCAGCAAUGCCGCGUGCAGGAAGAAGGCCUUCGGGUUGUAAACUGCUUUUGUCAGGGAAGAAAUCCUCUGGGCUAAUACCUCGGGGGGAUGACGGUACCUGAAGAAUAAGCACCGGCUAACUACGUGCCAGCCGCCGCGGUAACAC
rnacentral:rRNA from 1 species